UGGAAGCAUUUUGCUCUUUUCUUAGUGGUGGAGAAAUAACAAGGGGAUAGCAAUGGAAAAAAAUGUUUGGAUGAAAGAAACACCCAUAAAAACUGUGACUCCUCCAUCUGAAGACUGCUUUCAUAUCUGUGACUCAGAAGGGAAUUGUGGCUCUUAUAAUGCAAUGACUAUGAGAUCAGAGUGAUUAAGGUAGAGUCUGUAAGGGCAUGGAGGCUGCGAUGAAGGCUACCCAAGGAAUGAAGCCAGCAUAGUCUGCGGGGCAAAUGGUGGAGAUGGGACAGGGCAGUUUCAUCCAGCUCAAGAAGAGACAGAGGUGGGAACAGCUUGUGUUGUGGGUUAAUGGUGUCACACAGUGAUCAGUUUAACUUGUGUGCUGGUAGGUGUCAGGAUGAUGGAAAGGUAUUUAGUGUGAAGCAUGGAUUCUCUUUACAUCACCAGUCAUAGAAAGUGUGUGUUCAGAGCCAGGGAUGGAUGCACAUUCCUCUAGGAGGGGUAUAGGUGGACUAUAAGGUUACUAAUCAAUUGCUUAUCAUGGAAACACAGCAUAGUAUGUAAUGGCUACCUAUGGAA
rnacentral:lncRNA from 1 species